rnacentral:rRNA from 1 species
GACAAACGCUGGCGGCGUGCUUAACACAUGCAAGUCGAACGGAGGUUGCAGCAAUGCGGCCUCAGUGGCGGACGGGUGAGUAACGCGUGGGCAACCUGCCUUAUACAGGGGGAUAACACUGGGAAACUAGUGCUAAUACCGCAUGACACAGGAUUCCGGCAUCGGGAACCUGUCAAAGGAGCAAUCCGGUAUGAGAUGGGCCCGCGUCCGAUUAGCUUGUUGGUGAGGUAACGGCCCACCAAGGCGACGAUCGGUAGCCGAACUGAGAGGUUGGUCGGCCACAUUGGGACUGAGACACGGCCCAGGACUCCUACGGGAGGCUG